GCCUUGGUUGCACAACAGUUUAGUGCUUGGCUGCUAACCUGAAGUUGGUGGUUUGAAUCCAUCCAGCGGCU
rnacentral:tRNA from 1 species